GCUGCACACCUAACGUCUCCAUUGGCCAGCAUGUGGUCACAUGAUCAUACAAAGGCAAGGAAGGACCGGUAUACCCGGGUGUACCCCUGCGGCCUAGGGCAAGGAUUCCACUCUGAGGAGAGGAGGAGAAAUAGAAGUUCACCAUCCGAACGAGAGUCCAAAGUGGGAAGUGGCUGUUGCUGUGAAGGAGAUGGAGGAUUCUCUGCACAUUCCAGGAAAAGAAGACACAUUUGUGCAGCUGCAGGAGCGGUUCGGCCUGCCUGCGACAACAGGAGCUGGUGGAGGUAACACUAUGUGAUUUCCAAGGCAAGAUCAUACAAAUGCCAUGGACUUCUGCUGUGCUCUCCUGGGACGCUAGCCCAAGCCAGCUUGUGUGGAGCGACCAGAUGAAGAGGCCAUGUGUAGGAGUUCUGGCUGACGGCCAGUCUCAGCUGUUAGACCUUAUGUGAGCGAGGAAGCCUCCAGAUGAUUCCAGCCCUGGCUGCCAAGUCCCCCAGCCUUCCAGUCUUCCUGGCUGAGAAGUGGAGACUACUCGCCUCUCUUUGCCUUGUCUGAGUUCCUAACCCCCCAGAACCCAGGAAUGUACUAAAGUGAUCAUUUUCCAUCA